rnacentral:lncRNA from 1 species
GUGGAUUGUGGCCAUUCUAACAGGAGUAUCAAGUCCAAAAUGAAGCUCUUCAAACCAUCUGGGAAGAGAAAACAGCAUGACAAGGAAAGGUGUAUUUGUCUGAUCCCAGUAAUCAAUAUAAACAUCAAUGAUAACCCCACCUAUUUUUUUAAAUGUAUGAUUUGGAUGAAACAAGAGAAAGAGACUGAUUGUUGCUGAGUCCCUGCUGCAGUCCUGACACAGCUCUCCUUAUUUUGUUGAUGCUCAUGAGGACCCUGAUGUCUGAGGAAGAAGGUUCCCGUCCAGCUCUGCCCCUGGUGUGUCACAUGCCGGCCUUGUCAACGCACACGAGAACCUGACAGGGUGAGUGUUAUAACCCAGUCAUAGAAAAGGAAACUGGCUCUAAAGUGUAUGGCAUCUUGCCCAAGUUCUGACACUUAGCAGAGGCCUGAGUUUAAAUACAGCCUCGUCUUGCUCUUCGACAGCCUCAGCACCACAUGCCCUGGGUGGCCCACGCAGUGAGUCACUGACAGCCCUCGUGGUUGGCCCGUGGCACAGCAUGGAGCGAAAUGGUCCAGUGACCUUUUCAGACACUCGGGCAAUGCGUGGUAUAGUGUAUGUGGUCACUCCCAGUGAGUCCUAUUGUUCAGUUUAAUAGAAUAUCUAAUUCUAUGUUUAUUCUGAAUAAAGGGAGAUUUCUUGUGGUUUUUAAGAAUAUGAAGCAUAUCUAUUUUGCCUACAAGUUGGAAGUUCCGAUACUGUAGGAAGCAUAAGUGCAGGUUAUAAUGAUGGGUUUUUUAUAAGACUGAAUUCACAUCAAACUGAAUCAGUAACUCCAGCUGUAUGAACAGGGUGAAACAUUAAACAUUUAAUGAAAACAAUUCCUUUCUUAGGUCACAGCAAGGACUAAAUAUGUCCAAUUAUCAUGCCCACUAAGAAGAUGUAUUGUAAUAUUUGCAGUUAAUCACUCAUUCACUUCAAAGGGUGUUUAUUAAUUGUCUGCUCUGGGCAUAACAUUAAUUGGAAGCAGUGUGUUCACAUGGAAACAAAACUUACCUGAGACUCUCAGUCACAACUUUCCAUGACCAGUACACGUUUCUAAUUUGAAAUACAUAUCUAAGGCUUCAAAUGCAUAAAUAGGUAUCCCAAUGUAGAACUAAGUCAAUAGUUGCUUUGAAUUAAUUGUUUAAAUUAACCUGGGAAUCGGAAAGAUAUGUCUCCAUGAAACAAUAAAGGCUGUGUUAGAAUUAGUAAACUUUAGAAGAGCAUUUUAAUCCUAAUAUAUAAACAUACUACCUAGGCACACUGUUUAAAUACAUCUGCAACCUACUAUUUUUAGAUUUAAGAAAAUCAUUAAACCUUAAAUUUGGAAAAGAUUCCAGUGUUAGACCUCUAGACUAUGAAACUUGAAUGUUUUUCUAAACUCUUUGAGUUUUAUCCAGAAAUACAGAUUUUCCUGGCACUGACAACUGCAAGAAAUUUCACUUGGAGUCUCCACAUAGUCAACCAUGUGAUGUUAACAUCAGUGUAAUAGAUACUAUCACAAACAUCCUGUGACUUUUAUAUUUUUUUUGUACUUUAAGUUCUGAUACAUGAGCAGAACGUGCAGGUUUGUUACACAGGUAUACACGUGCCAUGGUAGUUUGCUGCACCCAUCAACGCAUCAUCUACAUUAGGUGUUUCUCCUAAUGCUAUCCCUCUCCUAGGCCCCCACCCGCCCUGACAGGUCCCAGUGUGUGAUGUUCUCCUCCCUGUGUCCAUACAUUC